rnacentral:snRNA from 1 species
AUGCUUACCUGGCAGGGGAGAUGCCAUGAUGAUCACGAAGGUGGUUUUCCCAGGGCAGGCUUAUCCAUUGCACUCCGGAUGUGCUGGCCACGCGAUUUCCCCAAAUGUAGGAGCUCGGCUGCAUAAUUUGUGGUAGUGGGGACUGCGUUUAAAACCUGGAGUUGUUGGCUCCAG